GCCUGGAUGGCUCAGUCAGUUAAGCAUCCGACUUCAGCUCGGGUCAUGAUCUUACCGUUCGUGAGUUCAAGCCUCACAUCUGGCU
rnacentral:tRNA from 1 species